rnacentral:rRNA from 1 species
AUGAACGCUGGCGGCGUGCUUAAUACAUGCAAGUCGAACGAGGAGCCUUUGUAGCAAUACGGAGGUUUCCUAGUGGCGAACGGGUGCGUAACGCGUUGGUGACCUGCCCCGAAGAGGGGGAUAACAGACCGAAAGGUCUGCUAAUACCCCAUGUGGUCACGAGGGUUAGAGGCCUUGUGACUAAAGCAGUAAUGCGCUUCGGGAGGGGCCUGCGUCCCAUCAGCUAGUUGGUAGGGUAAUGGCCUACCAAGGCUAUGACGGGUAGGGGACCUGAGAGGGUGGUCCCCCACACUGGCACUGAAACACGGGCCAGACACCUACGGGUGGCAGCAGUAGGGAAUAUUGGGCAAUGGGCGAAAGCCUGACCCAGCAACGCCGCGUGUGCGAUGAAGGCCUUCGGGUCGUAAAGCACUUUUCUGGGAGAUGAGAAAGGACAGUAUCCCAGGAAUAAGUCUCGGCUAACUACGU